rnacentral:rRNA from 1 species
AAACCAACAGGGAUUACCUCAGUAACGGCGAGUGAAGCGGUAACAGCUCAAAUUUGAAAUCUGGGUCUUUCAGGCUCCGAGUUGUAAUUUGUAGAAGAUGCUUCGGGUGCGGCUCCGGUCUAAGUUCCUUGGAACAGGACGUCAUAGAGGGUGAGAAUCCCGUAUGUGAUCGGUUGCUUGCGCCCAUGUGAAGCUCUUUCGACGAGUCGAGUUGUUUGGGAAUGCAGCUCAAAAUGGGUGGUAAAUUUCAUCUAAAGCUAAAUAUUGGCCAGAGACCGAUAGCGCACAAGUAGAGUGAUCGAAAGAUGAAAAGCACUUUGGAAAGAGAGUUAAACAGUACGUGAAAUUGUUGAAAGGGAAGCGCUUGCAACCAGACUUGCGCGUUGCCGAUUAUCCGGGGUUCUCCCCGGUGCACUCGGCCUCGCUCAGGCCAGCAUCGGUUUUGGUGGUGGGAUAAAGGCCUUGGGAAUGUAGCUCCUUUCGGGGAGUGUUAUAGCCCUCGGUGCAAUGCCGCCUACCGGGACCGAGGACCGCGCUUCGGCUAGGAUGCUGGCGUAAUGGUUGUAAGCGACCCGUCUUGAAAACAC